AUAGCUGGAUGUGUCUCUAAGGUGUGGUGAGAUGGAAGAGACCAGUCUAUGCCAUAUAAAAUGUUUGUUUAGAAACAGAUUAGUUCAUGAUUAUACUGAAAGUGUCUUUUACAUUUUGGCAGAACACUUUAAGGAGUCUUUAAGUCAAUGCUAUUUUAAAACAUGAACUUAAGUUAAUCUGAGGGAAAUGAAGAUUUCAUAGGACUCUUUCAAUACUUAAAGCACAAAGGCUUCUCAUUGAAGAAGGCGGAGUAUUUGAAGAUCACCUAUAGGGAGACAUGGGGGGAAAGAAACAGAAGAAUCCCCAGAAACUGGGAGUCAAGUAACUUGAUAUAAGCAAGAGGAAAAUAAUGAAGUGGACCCUGUCUAAACUAAGGUAGAAGGUCAAUGGGUUCCAUCUCAGGGAAACCAUAUCUGACAUUGCCGAAGUGGACAAGAACCUGAGACUAAAGCCUAGGA